UUGAUAGAAAACUACAACUUCCAUCCGCCCGGGAACUACGAGCAUAAGCUUAAAACCCAAAGGACUUGGCGGUGCUUUAGACCCCCCUAGAGGAGCCUGUUCUAGAACCGAUAACCCCCGUUAGACCUCACCUUUUCUUGUCCAUCCCGCCUAUAUACCGCCGUCGUCAGCUUACCCUGUGAAGGUUUAAUAGUAAGCAAAACUGGUAAACCCCAAAACGCCAGGUCGAGGUGUAGCAAACGAAAAGGAAAGAAAUGGGCUACAUUUCCUCCCCCAGGAAACACGAAUUGUGCUAUGAAACAACACAUGAAGGUGGAUUUAGCAGUAAGCAGAAAACAGAGAGUUCCGCUGAAACCGGCCCUGAAGCGCGCACACACCGCCCGUCACUCUCCCCAAGUUCUUAAGCAUUAAUAACUAAUACCCCACCAGAACAAAGGGGAGGCAAGUCGUAACAUGGUAAGUGUACCGGAAGGUGCGCUUGGAAAAACC
rnacentral:rRNA from 1 species